rnacentral:rRNA from 1 species
UACGUAGGGCGCAAGCGUUGUCCGGAAUUAUUGGGCGUAAAGAGCUCGUAGGCGGUCUGUCGCGUCCGUUGUGAAAACUCGAGGCUCAACCUCGGGCUUGCAGUGGAUACGGGCAGACUAGAGUGUGGUAGGGGAGAUCGGAAUUCCUGGUGUAGGCGGUGAAAAUGCGCAGAUAUCAGGAGGAACACCGGCGGCGAAGGCGGAUCUCUGGGCCGAUACUGACGCUGAGGAGCGAAAGCGUGGGGAGCGAACAGG